rnacentral:rRNA from 1 species
AACGAACGCUGGCGGCAUGCCUAACACAUGCAAGUCGAACGAGACCUUCGGGUCUAGUGGCGCACGGGUGCGUAACGCGUGGGAACCUGCCCUUAGGUUCGGAAUAACUCCCCGAAAGGGGUGCUAAUACCGGAUAAUGUCUUCGGACCAAAGAUUUAUCGCCUUUGGUUGGGCCCGCGUUGGAUUAGCUAGUUGGUAGGGUAAAAGCCUACCAAGGCGACGAUCCAUAGCUGGUCUGAGAGGAUGAUCAGCCACACUGGGACUGAGACACGGCCCAGACUCCUACGGGAGGCAGCAGUGGGGAAUAUUGGACAAUGGGCGAAAGCCUGAUCCAGCAAUGCCGCGUGAGUGAUGAAGGCCUUAGGGUUGUAAAGCUCUUUUACCCGGGAUGAUAACGACAGUACCGGGAGAAUAAGCUCCGGCUAACUCCGUG